rnacentral:rRNA from 1 species
UGGGGAAUAUUGGACAAUGGGCGCAAGCCUGAUCCAGCCAUGCCGCGUGAGUGACGAAGGCCUUAGGGUUGUAAAGCUCUUUUGUCGGGGACGAUAAUGACGGUACCCGAAGAAUAAGCUCCGGCUAACUUCGUGCCAGCAGCCGCGGUAAUACGAAGGGAGCUAGCGUUGUUCGGAAUCACUGGGCGUAAAGCGCACGUAGGCGGAUUUGUAAGUCAGGGGUGAAAUCCCGGGGCUCAACCUCGGAACUGCCUCUGAUACUGCAGAUCUUGAAUCCGGUAGAGGUGGGUGGAAUUCCUAGUGUAGAGGUGAAAUUCGUAGAUAUUAGGAAGAACACCGGUGGCGAAGGCGGCCCACUGGACCGGUAUUGACGCUGAGGUGCGAAAGCGUGGGGAGCAAACAGGAUUAGAUACCCCAGUAGUCCCUGAGCGGGCUGGCAAGGCGCAU